UACGGAGGGUGCAAGCGUUAUCCGGAUUCACUGGGCUUAAAGGGUGCGUAGGCGGGUAGGUAAGUCAGUGGUGAAAUCUUCGAGCUUAACUCGGAAACUGCCGUUGAUACUAGCUAUCUUGAAUACCGUGGAGGUGAGCGGAAUAUGUCAUGUAGCGGUGAAAUGCUUAGAUAUGACAUAGAACACCAAUUGCGAAGGCAGCUCGCUGCACGAAUAUUGACGCUGAGGCACGAAAGCGUGGGGAGCAAACAGG
rnacentral:rRNA from 1 species